GUGCUUGGUUCUGCAGCACAUAUACUAACCCUGGGACAAUGCAGAGGAGAUUAGUUUGGCCCCUUGGCAAGGAUGACAGAAAGUGAAAUCUGUCCUGGCUCU